rnacentral:lncRNA from 1 species
UCUACAUUUAUGUCUUUUAACUCAUUUGGGGAGUUUGGUGUGUUAUCUCUCUGCCCUUUCUCAUUGUUCUCCCCAUCUGGGGCUGUUAUUAUGUGAAAGCUUGUUUCUUUCAUCGGAUCAUGUAGGCUGUAAUGAUGUUUCGUUUAUUUUGAUUCUCCUUACACUGCGUAGUUUUAAUUUACCUAAGGUGACUCAUUUUUGUUUGUUUCCUGAGAAUAGGUCUUACUCUGUCUCCUAGGUUGGAGAGGAGCCUCAGGAUCUCAGCCCACUGCAGCCUGGACACCGCACACCCAUGUGAUCCUCUCAAGUCAGACUCACAUAGCUGGCACUACAGCAACCAUAUGUGAGAUAAUGAUGCACAUUACUGCAGACAUCACAGAUACAGGUCCAAAGGGAAAUGAAGAAGAAGAAGAAGAAAGCAAGCUUUAAAGUCUAUACAUUCCUAACACUGUAUCAGAAACUCACCAAUAACAUGAAAUCAAAGAAUGAUAACAGCAAAUUCCAUUUCAUACCUAGACUGAAAUAUGAAACUUCAAAAGAAAAGAAAGUUAAGAACUUUGGGUUUGUAAAAAUUUUCCUAUAUAGAUAAAAUUAUUGGUAACUUUGUAUCACUAGAAAACAUAAACGAAAAUCCAUGUUUUGCAUAUUUGUAAAUAUAAAUGUUUUUAUUUCCAUCAGUUAUGACAUGCAAGCAAGUAAUAAAGUGAAAGUACAUUACAAUGAUAUAUGGAACUUUCUCAGUCUCAAAAUAUUCCAUUGAGACUAUUAAUUUUAUGAAAACCACAAAGAAUGCUUCAUGCAACUAUAUUAUACAGUACUUUUUAGUAUUUUACUUACAUUUUAAAUAAUUAACAAAGGGAAUUCUUCAACAUUAUUUAUUACAAAUACCAUUAUUUUCCUUGAGUAAUACUGUUGAAAUUAAGUAUUUUAAAUAAAAUAUUAAAAACAAAUUAUAUUGACUGAUUUCAGCUUUGGAUGAAAUCAUGCUUGUGUAUUUGUAGUAAUGUGAAGUAUAACUUUCUCCUCACAAUUAAUCUUUCAUAACACCAGUGUUAUUGUUUUCUCUGACAACAACAUUGUGAUAUCUCACAGCUUUACUGUACAUAUACACUACAUGCCUCCAGAGAGUAGGCUUCAAACAUAUGGAAAAAUUAUAUUUGUGACAAAAUUCUAGGAAAGGGAAUGGUAAAAUGGGAGAAUAAUUUCUAACUUUCUAACUGUUGAUCAAUGGAUUUGUGUAUAUUUAGAUAUAGACACAUAUUUGCACACUGUGAGUUUGCCCAUGUACAUAUACAUUUACAAGAGAUACCUAUAAUAUGUGGGUUGUGUAAUCUUUUAAUUAAUCCACAAUUGUAUAUGUGUGAAAUUUGAUAAGCGGUUACCUUUUCUAUACUCAAUUUGAUGGAAAGACAAAAAAAUCUCUGUCAACAUUCAUUUCAAUUAAUCCAAUACUGUUAACUGCUGAUAGCUUCAUUCUCCUUGUUCUCUUUUGGCAACCUGAAAGUUAAUUCUCACUCUAAUUCAGCUCUCAGGGUGCAAUCCAGAAGACAGUGUUAUCUUGCUAUGGAUUGUGACCUCUGACUCCACCUCUUUCUUCCUAG